GUCUACACUAAACUUAGCAUCAAUAUGGUGACCUUCUGGAAGUGGAGUACCACCAGGUUUCCUAAGGAUGGGUGAACUUACCCAGGUUGGAAAUGGAGCAGGUCAAAACUCUCGUGCUGAUCAGCAGUGGAAUCAC
ensembl:misc_RNA Metazoa_SRP Metazoan signal recognition particle RNA